GUCAAACAAAAUUUUCUCGUGCAAAACUAAAUCACUUUUAUUUGAUUAUUCACUAACCCUGAUACGAAAUUUCAGAAUUGGGUGGAAGCGAUUCAAACUACUGUUUUAUUGGAUUUCAGAACAAACUCAACAAGAUCCAGGCUCGUUCAGAAAGAAAACUAACAGAACAUGUUGAGUUGAAAGUUCCAAACUAAUGGGGUUUUCGUUUGAUUGAUUUUUAUUUGCUAAAGUAUUGGUGUGUAUUUGUGUCUGUGAACCAGAGCAGCGAUCCACAGUAGUUGUCAAAUAUUGAUUUUUUUUUAUCCGAAGAUGAG